CUCCUCUCACAGUCACACCUGAAGAGUUUCCAGUACUCUACCAGUUUGGGGUAUGGGAGGGAAAGUCAAGCAGAGGCCUAUCCAUUCCAUUCUUAGCUUGGGUAGUGGCUAGAGAGCGGAAGGCAAUCUGCUACAAGU